rnacentral:rRNA from 1 species
GAUGAACGCUGGCGGCGUGCUUAACACAUGCAAGUCGAACGGAAAGGCCACAGCUUGCUGUGGUACUCGAGUGGCGAACGGGUGAGUAACACGUGGGUGAUCUGCCCUGUACUUCGGGAUAAGCUUGGGAAACUGGGUCUAAUACCGGAUAGGAAUCACAUGUGGGUGUGUGGUUGGAAAGCUUUUGCGGUAUGGGAUGAGCUCGCGGCCUAUCAGCUUGUUGGUGGGGUAAUGGCCUACCAAGGCGUCGACGGGUAGCCGGCCUGAGAGGGUGUACGGCCACAUUGGGACUGAGAUACGGCCCAGACUCCUACGGGAGGCAGCAGUGGGGAAUAUUGCACAAUGGGCGCAAGCCUGAUGCAGCGACGCCGCGUGGGGGAUGACGGCCUUCGGGUUGUAAACUCCUUUCGUCAGGGACGAAGCGAAAGUGACGGUACCUGGAUAAGAAGCACCGGCUAACUACGUGCCAGCCGCCGCGGUAAGAC